UACGUAGGUGGCAAGCGUUAUCCGGAUUUACUGGGUGUAAAGGGCGUGUAGGCGGGAAAGCAAGUCAGAUGUGAAAACCAUGGGCUCAACCUGUGGCCUGCAUUUGAAACUGUUUUUCUUGAGUACUGGAGAGGCAGACGGAAUUCCUCGUGUAGCGGUGAAAUGCGUAGAUAUGAGGAGGAACACCAGUGGCGAAGGCGGCUUACUGGACGGCAACUGACGCUGAGGCUCGAAAGCGUGGGGAGCAAACAGG
rnacentral:rRNA from 1 species